rnacentral:rRNA from 1 species
GUGAGGAAUAUUGGACAAUGGGCGCAAGCCUGAUCCAGCCAUGCCGCGUGCAGGAAGACGCAUCUAUGGUGUGUAAACUGCUUUUGUACGGGAAGAAACACUCCCUCGUGAGGGAGCUUGACGGUACCGUAAGAAUAAGGAUCGGCUAACUCCGUGCCAGCAGCCGCGGUAAUACGGAGGAUCCAAGCGUUAUCCGGAAUCAUUGGGUUUAAAGGGUCCGUAGGCGGUUUAAUAAGUCAGUGGUGAAAGCCAAUCGCUCAACGAUGGAACGGCCAUUGAUACUGUUAGACUUGAAUUACAAGGAAGUAACUAGAAUAUGUAGUGUAGCGGUGAAAUGCUUAGAUAUUACAUGGAAUACCAAUUGCGAAGGCAGGUUACUACUUGUGGAUUGACGCUGAUGGACGAAAGCGUGGGGAGCGAACAGGAUUAGAUACCCGUGUAGUCC